CUACGGGUCGCUCCAGUCGAGAAUCUUCCACAAUGCACGAAAGUGUGAUGGAGCGACGUCGCGUGCGAGAUGAAGGCCUUCGGGUCGUAAAUCGUUUUUAUAAGGGAAGAAUUUAGAUGACAUUACCUUAUGAAUAAGGGGUUGCUAAUUGCGUGCCAGCAGCAGCGGUAAUACGCAAACCCCAAGCGUUAUCCGGAUUUAUUGGGCGUAAAGGGUGGGUAGGCGGAUAUAGCAGUCAGUCGUUAAAUCACUGGGCUCAACCCAGUAAUCGCGAUUGAAACACUAUGUCUAGAGAUAAGUAGAGGUCAACGGAACUCAUGGUGUAGCAGUGAAAUGCGUUGAUAUCAUGGGGAACACCAAAGGCGAAGGCAGUUGACUGGGCUUUAUCUGACGCUGAGCCACGAAAGCGUGGGGAGUGAAGGGGAUUAGAUACCCCAGUAGUC
rnacentral:rRNA from 1 species